CAGCCAAACAUAAAGAAAUGAAGAAAGCUCGAAGGAAAUGUUUUCCUGACUUCUCUAUUUAUCUAAAAUAUACACACAAGACAUACAAACUGCUGGGUAUAUACUCAAACAUCUUUGAUAAUUCGUCUUCAAAGGCAGCCCAGUACAUAUGCACACCAGUUUCAAACAAACCUCGCCUCCGCCAGUGUCUAGCAGCCAACUUAGAACUGAUGCAGACCAGGGGAAUCCUACUGUUUAAUUAAAACAAAGCAUAGAGAAGGCCUGAGGCAGGUGUUGAUGCGAUGUGAUUUCUGCCCAGUGCUCUGAAUGUCAAAGUGAAGAAAUUCCAUGAAGCACCGCUAAGUGGCAGGAGUAACCAUGACUCUCUUAAGAUAGCCAAAAUGCCUUGUCAUCUGAUUAGUGACUCACACGAAUGGAUGAGAGAUUCCCACUGUCUCUACCUACUAUCCAUCGAAACCACAGCCAAGGGAAUGGGCUUGG
rfam:Ovis aries breed Texel chromosome 1, whole genome shotgun sequence.